CUUUCCAAGACAAACUAGAUAAGAUGCAGAUUGGAUCAGGCGAAGAUGUGAAUGACCUCAAUUAUGAUUAUGACAAUGAACAGUGCGUAGCACGUGGUGGAAAUUAAUAGAUGGGAUGGUGGACAGCGGAAGGGAUAAUGAUGCAGCGGCGGCGUGACUAAUAUGAACAGAACUCGAAACUCUAAAGGAACUAGACGCUAAGACCAGCAACUGACACGACGAUGCAACCGAUAAUUCAACUAUGCAAGCAAUGAAUAGAAAAUUGCAAAGGCUCAGACUGGCUUGGAUAAAGGAUGAACAGAUCUAACUUUUUUUUUGUGUGGCUUUUUCUUGGACAAUAGGUAAGAAAAUAAAUCUAAUCUAAGAAAAACUGGAAAUUCUCACCGAACAACCUGAAAACUGAUACCACUUGAUAGAGGCGGGGUGUCCCGAUCUUUCGAUGAGAUGAUACUACCGAUUUGGUGGAGACGACUUUGACGAUCCGACUACAAACGUGCACGACGUUGCGCCUUAGCAAUCGCUAAACCAAUCUCCUGAGGUUAUUGACCACGCCGGAGCACGAUCAACCUGACCACGAAGGUCUAUUCCUGCAAGCAAUCGAAGAACGAGCAAGAAUAUGAUAAAAGCAAUCUGAAUAUUGCGAAUAUAUAUGAAGUAUUGAUAAAGGUGGGGAUCCGGAAGCGGUCUUGGUCUGGUCGUUGGACACAAACGAAGUACACGAAGUUGCAAUGGCUAACUUUUAACUAAACAAAUCCCCAGGAAAAGCUACUAGAUGGAUCUACUUAUAUAGGAGCAAGGGGUGGCGGCCAAGGAGGUGGGAGGACGUCCCAAGGCAGCCUAAAACCAAAUCUAGGUCGUACAAGGCCAAUGGGCCCAAGUGGAGGUGAUGUAACACCUUUGGACUUGUAGUUUGACUCGGAUUCUGCUGCAGCAUCAGAUUGUUUCGUCCACAACUCAACGCUCCGGACGAAUUUGAAGGUGAUUCCAAAUGGGUUGGAAAGUGCACGAAAUCUAGUUUCCAACAAAAAAAGAAUCACCCAAUUCGGAGUCCGUAUGAAAAACUUGUGUGCGUUUUGAGUCAGGUAUGUCUGUGCAGUCCGAAUCUGAAUCCAGAACGUGAGAGACUUGGACUCUAUCUUCUCUUGGGCCAAAAGUGACGUGAGAGAACUUUUUGGACAGCAAAUAAACAUCUCUUUCUUCCUUAUCUUCAUAUGUGGAUUGUACAAAUGUCCCAUACACCUGCAAUUAGACAAAACACAAAAGUGUGUGAAGUAUUUUUGUUCUGGAUAACAUAAAUAGAUUAUUGAAUAGUUUGCACUAGAAAUCACCUAACAAAUAUGCAUAUAUGCAAUAUUUUUGGUCAUAUCCAAGGUAGUCAUGUCCUCAUCAUCCUCCCCUUCUUGAAAAUAAAGCCGUCCUCGGCGUUGCUUAAUCUGAAAUGUGGCUAACAAAAGAGACAAGGUGUACAUGUUGUAUAUGUAUAUGUCAUCCAUUUUUACUUCCCUUGAUUUUUGCAUAUAUGACACAUGAAUAGAUGAGUAACUUGCAUAGUUCAUAAAAUCUAAAGCCAAAAAAUUAGCACAAGAAGUAGAAGGCAUGAAAAUAUUGCAACUCAGUUUGCACAUAUAAGUGAAGCUCUUAUUCAUUUCAAAAGAUUGACAAUGUCCAUCAUUAAACCAUCCCAACAUUGGUGAAUAAACCUUACUUGCAUCAAAUUUACAUGCUACAACAUGCUUAAAUAAGCAAACAUGCAAUAAGUCAUUCAACACAGAAUCAUCACCAAGAUUAGAGGUCAUAUCAAAAUGAUUAAACAUUGGUUCUUUUGCAUCAAUAGUUAAUUCAAUGGGUGCACUCAAAAUUGUUGGUAUUUUAGUUGUUUGAUCACAUGGCAAAGUCAAAUUAUCAACGUAGUCCUCUAAAAUAGGUGGUGUGAUCAAAGUAGUGGGUAGCUCAUCAGAUGGUGCAUUCAAAUUGACAAGGCAUUCAUCAUUCUCAUGUAGAGAUGGAAGAUCAGUACCUUUGUCAUUACCUCUUAUGAUCAACUCAGAUGAUGUAGCCACUCUCGGGGGCGAUGUGUCACAUGGUGGAGGUGAUGUAGUCCUGACAACAACGGAUUUGGUUGCCAUAGUAUGCCUAGUAGUUGAAGGAACAAUCAUAUCAACUCUUGGAAUGUGCACCGUGCGCUUGUUCUCCUCGUGGCCAACACGUCGUUUUAUUUCCUGUUCAGCUUUGCAAGCAAGAUGAAACAAAUGGUCCAUAGGAUAACACUCUUCAUGAAUUAGUAUCUCUUGAAUAUCAUGGUUUAAUCCUCCCCAAAAUCUAUCCAUAAAAUCAUCUUCACUUUCUUCUAAAGAGGAAUGCAACAAGCUAGUUUGUAAAUCAUCAUAAUAUUUUGUUACAGGUUCACUACCUUGUUUUAAGUGUUGCAACUUCUUAAUCAUGUCACGAGUAUAAUAAGCAGGGACGAAAGUAUGUCGCAUGGCAAGUUUCAAAUCAUCCCAAGUAGUAGGUAUAUAAUCAGGGUGUAACCGACAAUAUUCACUCCACCAAACCAAAGCAUAACCAGUGAAAGAACCAACCGCAACCUUAACCUUUUUAUGUUCAUCGAAAUUAUGGGAAACAAAUAUAUUUUUUAUGUCGAACUCCCAUUCAAUAUAUAAAGCAGGUUUAAAACGGCCAUUAAAUGGUGGUAUAGAUACAUUAACCUGAUCAUGUGCAUUUGCAUGUUUGUGCACCUCUCGUGACGGUUGUGGUAUUUGCAAAGGUGGUGGCACGUCUCCCGCGAUCGACAAAGCCCAUGAAUUGACUCUGGAUCCUGUCAUGAUUAGUAGAACAAGAAACAAAACCCAAAAAUAAUGUUCCUAUAACUACUAGGAUGUGGUGGUAAAACGCUCACAGUAAAGCAAAUAUCAAUGUCUUACAAGUUCUUACCAUGCAGCAGGUGGUGAUCGGCAGCCAGCGGUGUCAAGUAACUCCGAAUAUUGAGUAAAGCGAUUGCCAGGGGAGCGUACGUAUACACGGUGUAGAAAUAUGUGGAGCUGGGUUGGCUAUAUAUGGUAGCAAAAGAUUAGCAAUAAUCAAUUCAAAGAUGCAAUGUUGAAUAAACGCUCAACGACGGUACUGUGCUGGUCCUAGGCUAGACCGGACUAGAGACGCGAGCCUAGAACACUAAUGAGGUCACGGCGUAGCACAACUAGCAUCAAUGAAGGAUACUAAGUAGCUCUUGACAGCAAGAUAUAAGUGAAGAUCACAACGGCAGUGAAGAUAAUGAUGAAAAACAACUGCCAAGCAGGAUAUACAACAACUCUCUCUCCAACUUUCCUCUUGAAAAGUUUGAGACAAUUUUCUGAUAAAUUCUUUCAAAGAAUGCUACUAACUCAAGCUUUCCAAUGCAAAAAGAAUCACUCAAUUCCGAGUUGAUAUGAGGAGUCAAAGAAUUCUAAAACUGGCCUGAAAUAUUGGAACAAGCUGUGUUCACGAACUUCGGAGGGCAAAAAGACCUAUUUAGAAGCCGAUUUUGAGGUAUCAAAUAUUGAACUAGCUUCUGCAACUAUUUAGAUGCGGCUCGUUGUUAGCUUCAAUUUGAGUACUCACGGAGCCAAAACGGACUUCGUAUGAGGAAGAUACACCUGUUUUACUGAACAGUGUGCAAAACAGAUUCCAAUCCGAAUUCAGGUACGAGAUUGAUUCUAGAUAGAUCCAAUUUUUUUUCUCUCUUUUUUUUUCUCAUGCUUUUUUUUUCUUUUUCUUCUCUCUCUUUUUCUUUUUUUUCUUUCCUUUUUUCUCUUUCUUUUUUUUUCUUUCCAAGACAAACUAGAUAAGAUGCAGAUUGGAUCAGGCGAAGAUGUGAAUGACCUCAAUUAUGAUUAUGACAAUGAACAGCGCGUAGCACGCGGUGGAAAUUAAUAGAUGGGAUGGUGGACAGCGGAAGGGAUAAUGAUGCAGCGGCGGCGUGACUAAUAUGAACAGAACUCGAAACUCUAAAGGAACUAGACGCUAAGACC
rnacentral:lncRNA from 1 species